rnacentral:rRNA from 1 species
GACGAACGCUGGCGACGUGCUUAACACAUGCAAGUCGAACGGAAAGGCCUCAGCUUGCUGGGGUACUCGAGUGGCGAACGGGUGAGUAACACGUGGGUGAUCUGCCUUGCACUCUGGGAUAAGCUUGGGAAACUGGGUCUAAUACCGGAUAUGAACUGCCUUUAGUGUGGUGGUUGGAAAGUUUUUUCGGUGCAAGAUGAGCUCGCGGCCUAUCAGCUUGUUGGUGGGGUAAUGGCCUACCAAGGCGUCGACGGGUAGCCGGCCUGAGAGGGUGUACGGCCACAUUGGGACUGAGAUACGGCCCAGACUCCUACGGGAGGCAGCAGUGGGGAAUAUUGCACAAUGGGCGGAAGCCUGAUGCAGCGACGCCGCGUGGGGGAUGACGGCCUUCGGGUUGUAAACUCCUUUCGACAGGGACGAAGCUUUUUGUGACGGUACCUGUAUAAGAAGCACCGGCUAACUACGUG